AUUGAACGCUGGCGGCAGGCUUAACACAUGCAAGUCGAGCGAGCGGCGGACGGGUGAGUAAUGUCUGGGAAACUGCCUGAUGGAGGGGGAUAACUACUGGAAACGGUAGCUACUACCGCAUACCAUCAGAUGUGCCCAGAUGGGAUUAGCUAGUUGGUGGGGUAAUGGCUCACCUAGGCGCCGAUCCCUAGCGGGUCUGAGAGGAUGACCAGCCACACGGGAACUGAGACACGGUCCAGACUCCUACGUGAGGCAGCAGGGGGGAAUAUUGCACAAGGGGCGCAAGCCUGAUGCAGCCCUGCCGCGUGUGUGAAGAAGGCCUUCGGGUUGUAAAGCACUUUCAGCGAGGAGGCGUUACUCGCAGAAGAAGCACCGGCUAACUCCGUGCCAGCAGCCGCGGUAAUUC
rnacentral:rRNA from 1 species